rnacentral:rRNA from 1 species
UAGACCUCAAAUCAGUCAGGACUACCCGCUGAACUUAAGCAUAUCAAUAAGCGGAGGAAAAGAAACUAACAAGGAUUCCCCUAGUAACGGCGAGUGAAGUGGGAAAAGCUCAACUUUGAAAUCUGGUACUUUCAGUAUCCGAAUUGUAGUCUCAAGAAGUGUUUUCUGUGCCGGUCCAUGUAUGAGUCUGUUGGAACACAGCGUCAUAGAGGGUGACAACCCCGUUCAUGACAUGGAUCCCGGUGCUUUGUGAUACACUCUCGAAGAGUCGAGUUGUUUGGGAAUGCAGCUCAAAUUGGGUGGUAAAUUCCAUCUAAAGCUAAAUAUUGGCGAGAGACCGAUAGCAAACAAGUACCGUGAGGGAAAGAUGAAAAGCACUUUGGAAAGAGAGUUAACAGUACGUGAAAUUGUUGAAAGGGAAACGAUUGAAGUCAGACGUGCGUGAUGCGGUUCAGCUCUAGUUCGCUAGAGUGUACUCCGUAUCUUUGCAGGCCAACAUCGGUUUUGUUAGUCGGAUAAAGGUUUGAGAAAUGUGGCACCUUCGGGUGUGUUAUAGUCUCAGACUGAAUACGAUUGAUGGGACCGAGGAACGCAGCGCGCCGCAAGGCAAAGGUUCCGACCUUUUCGCGCUUAGGAUGUUGGUGAAAUGGCUUUAAACGACCCGUCUUGAAACACG